rnacentral:rRNA from 1 species
UACGUAGGGCGCAAGCGUUGUCCGGAAUUAUUGGGCGUAAAGAGCUCGUAGGCGGCUUGUCACGUCGGGUGUGAAAGCCCGGGGCUUAACCCCGGGUCUGCAUUCGAUACGGGCAGGCUAGAGUGUGGUAGGGGAGAUCGGAAUUCCUGGUGUAGCGGUGAAAUGCGCAGAUAUCAGGAGGAACACCGGUGGCGAAGGCGGAUCUCUGGGCCUUACCUGACGCUGAGGCGCGAAAGCUAGGGGAGCAAACAGG